GGCCGUCUAGCUCAGUUGGUUAGAGCGUCGUGCUAAUAUCUUAUCAAGAUGAAUACGCGAAGGUCUUGGGUUCGACCCCCACGAUGGCCA